GCGUUGAGGUGGCAGUUUUAAGAUGCCGAGUCUUUCUUGAAGUGCUUAGAUAUUUCCUAAUGCCUAGAGUGUAAAUGCGAGGCCCACUUGGUCCUCUUGAAUAUAAAUACUCACAUUAAUUUGAAUGUUUACGUCAAUAUGAUUUAAGAUAGGUCUUGAAUACUAAAUAAUAAUCACAUUUUAGUUACCAAAGGAAAAUAAAAUUGUUAAUGCUGAAAGUAAAAAGUAGAAGUCCAAUUAAGUAAAAAUCACCCCAUAUAGACAUUAAGAUUGUCUUUUUGAUUGCUAGGACGUGUCAUUAAAAUCUUUCUAAGGAUUUAGUUUGAUCACAGGAAACAAAUUUGAAGAGUUGUUGGCUAAUAUUCUAGAAGGAAUGCUGGGUGCCAAAAGUCAGAUCAGAGGACGAAGUUAAAAAGUUGUGCUAUACCCUAGCUUAGAAGUGGUAAAGUAUUUUCAUGAAAUAUCAGAGAUUAUGAGAUUAUGGUACAAAUUUAAUUGGUUUCUGUUAUAUGAAGCUUACUUUUGGCAGUUAAUAUGAUAGUUGUGAAUUGCAUUUUACUUAUUUCACACUAGGGAGUUUGAUAAUGCAUGUAGCAUUAAAUAGAUAAGGUUUCUUGUAAUCGUUGAAAACAACGAUUACUAUUGUUCAUAAUUCUUUGGAUUUUCAAACUAGAAGGACUAUGUGAAAAUGAAAGGGUGACUAGAUUUAUAAA